rnacentral:rRNA from 1 species
GAAUUUUAUAUUAAUGAUAAAAAAAAUAUUUAUAAGAGUAAAAAUAGUAAUUAUUAUUAAUAUUUUAUUGGGAGGAUAGUUAAAUUUUAGGAACUUUAAUUAAAAUGAUAAUAUUAAUGAAUAGAGCAAUAAAAAAUAAAGUAUAUUAUUAUUAGUAUAAUAAGAAUUAAUUACCUUAGGGAUAACAGCAUAAAAUUUUUAGAGAGAUCUUAUUAAUAAAAAUAUUUGU